rnacentral:pre_miRNA from 1 species
CGAGCUCGCCGGAUCUGGCGGCGGAGCUCGCGGCUCGCCGGAUCCAGGUGAGCUCGAGCUCUGUCGCCAGAUCCGGCGAGCUCG